CCCCCUGGACUUUCCCUAGGUUCCGUGGUUCCCUUGUCUGUGAUCUCUCUCCCCUUCUCUUCCCUCUAACUCUGAGGUUAUGGGUUCACUUAAAAACCUUGCCUCUGGGU
rnacentral:lncRNA from 1 species